UCCCUGGUGGUCCAGUGGCUAAGACUCCGCACUCCCAAUGCAGAGUGCCCCGGAUUCGAUCCCUGGUCAGGGAA
rnacentral:tRNA from 1 species